AAGAAGUUAGUUUAUAAAAACGGAUGGUUUCGGCUCAUCAAAUCUUAGUUUAACCUAAGACUUCUUU
rnacentral:tRNA from 1 species